rnacentral:rRNA from 1 species
CCCUUAGAUGUCCUGGGCCGCACGCGUGCUACACUGACGCAUACAGCGAGCACUUUCCAGUUCCGAGAGGCUACUGGUAAUCAUCAAUAUGCGUCGUGAUGGGGAUAGAUCUUUGGAAUUCUGGAUCUUGAACGAGGAAUGCCUAGUAAUCGCAGGUCAUUAGCCUGCGAUGAUUAAGUCCCUGCCCUUUGUGCACACCGCCCGUCGCUACUACCGAUUUCGAGUGGUCAGGUGAAUCUUUCGGACUGUGGGCGCCCUUGAGGUGUUCGCGGAAAGUCAGGUAAAUCUUAUCACUUAGAGGAAGUAAAAGUCGUAACA